rnacentral:lncRNA from 1 species
CUCAGAUAUCUCAAUUAGACAUGUGUUGGAUCAAGGAUUGGAAUACUGCAGCCCCCUGGCCACAUCUAGACCACUCCCUGCUGGUGUAAAAACUACUGAAACACAGUCACAUUGAUUUCUUCAUGGAUUAUCUAUAGUCACUGUCCUGUGGCAAUACCAGAGUCCACCCAACCUGAAGAACCAUAAAUAUUUACUGUCUGGCCUCUUACAAGAAAAAAAAAAGUACAGAUCCCCGUGCUAAAGAUCUAAAAGCAUCCUGAACCAUCUGUCGGAGAGUGACAGGAGAUGAAGACAGGAAAACUAAGAGCUACUUCACAAAAUCCCUGGCUAUUAAGGCUCCUUACCUCUGGACACUCCACAAAUCUGCUGUUCAAGAGCCCUGGAAGCCUGGAAAGAUCUGAAAUAUUUACACAUGGAGAAGUGAGGCUGCCUUCCUUAUGUGGUCAUGGGAAUACGAAGGAGAACUUGCUCCUGGACCAAGGAGAGUACUUCGCUCAAACACGCCCGUUAUACAUGCAGCUGACACCAUUUUGCUCCAUGCUCAUUCUGCACACUCACAGGACUGCACCAGGGCGUGACACAGAGGGAGGCUGCAGCAGCCAGCACAGCACACCUCCAAGGAGACAGGCGUUGGUCCACUGCUCCUGGACAAGCUUUACCAGGGAAGCUGGCUGUGUUUGAACCCGCUCUUGAUUAUUCAAACUCCCUUUCUGUGACCAUCCUGUAAUCUGUUAAUAUCCUUUGUCUAGCUUUCCAUUUAAUUAUUUUUCCUUUCCUUAUUGAUUUGUAGGAGUUCUUAAUAAAGUCAAUGCAAUUUUGUAUUGGUCACAUGGGUUACGAUUAUCUUCUCCCAAUCUGUGACCUGAUUUACGACAUUGUAAACGAUGGCACCUUUCAUGAGGCUUUUAGUUCUAACUUAGUUUUAUUUAUCUUUUGUGAGUUUUGCUCUUGUUUAAACAUCAUUCUUUACCCUCAAUGUCAUGCAAUCAAUUCCUUAUAUUUUUUCCUAUAAGAAGGAGGGAUAUUCACAUUUAAAUAACUGCAUCUUUGAUAUACUGAGAGGUAAGUACUUCAUUUUCUUUUUCUACAUGGGUAAUCAUCACACCUGGGUCAGAUGCUGGUGGUCCAUCUUUUCUCCAUAUUUCAUAUAUCUAGCCUCCAUGUAUGUGAGACAAGUUCUUUGCUCUUUUCCACUGCCAUAUUUGUUGAUCAAUAAGUUCGUAUGAUAUUGUCUUCAUCAGAGUUGUAUAAGUCUAAUCUGGUGAGGCAAAUCUCCUACUUGUUCUGUUGACAUUGUCUUAGUUACUCUUUCUUUUUUGUUGUUCAUAUGACUUUUAGAAUCAGCUUGUCAAAUUCCACCAAAAACUCAUUAUUUCAGUUACAAAUAUAUUAAACUAAUCAAUAUAUUUUAAGUGUUUUUAUCUUUAGGCUAUUGAGCCUUCUUAAACUGAACAUGAUACAGUUUUUAUUUAAUUUGUCAUAUAUGACCUUCAUUAUUAUUUUGCAAUUUUCUACAGAAAUGUCAUAUACAUGCUUUAUUAGAGUUUUCCUAUGUCCCUUAAUAGGUACUGAUUCGGACUUAGGUGAUUGCCUACUGCCUCUGAACUCAAGCAAAUCUGCCCUAAACCAUAUGGUUAUGUUGGUGAAUUCACUACAGAAAGUGUGAUCUUUGAAAAACUUCUAAAGACUUUAAAAUGCUAUUGAGUUUUGUACGUUGACAUCCCAGAGAAGUUGCUGUCUUAUUAUAUUCCGAUGCUUUGUCUGUAGUACCUCUUGCGUUUUACAUGAAGACGGUCAAAUGCAGGUAAGGGCAAUUCUGUCUCUUGAUUUCAUGUUUGCUUCAAGUCAAAGCAACUAGUAUCUUUUAAAACAAUGCAAGACACAACACCAACUGAAGCUCAUCACUGGAACAAAUCUGAGCCC